GGCCUGUGCAGUCUGGCACCCACUUUCCCUGCUCCCUGGUUUUGCCCUCUCUGAAUCGCUCCAGACCUCUUUCAAUCUCCUAUACACUUUUGUCAUAGGCCUUUGCAUACAGUUCCCUCUGCCUAAAAUUCUCUUCACUUUAUAAACUCUUGUGCAUAUUUCAGGUCUCAGAGCCAAUAUCACUGCCUCCAGGAAGCCUUCCUGAAUUGCCCUGACUCCUCUACAUCCUACCCCACCCUAGCACCCCAACCAUCACUUCAUAUGUGUGUGAUUAAUGGAUUAACAUGCACCUCCUCCAUUGGACUGGGCCCUGCUGGAGCUGAGAAUUCUGCUUUGCUUCCUAUUUGUAUUAGUUCUCACACUGCUAUAAAGACAUAUCAGAGACUGGGUAAUUUAUAAAGGAAAGAGGUUUAAUUGACUCACAGUUCCACAUGGCUGGGGAGGCCUCAGGAAACUUACAGUCAUGGUAGAAGGCGAAGAGGCUCGUCUUACGCGGCAGCAGACAAGAGAG
rnacentral:lncRNA from 10 species